AUGACAGGUGGGCUUUGGCAGAUGUCCCAGCCGCUCAGAGUCAGGGAGAGAAGGAGUCUCCAGCUCUGUCCUCUUCGUAGGCCACGUCUCAGCCGCUCUGACUGCUGCCUCUGUAGGAGGGUGAGGUGCUCACGGAAUCAAGAGAAAAAACUCCAGAGAGGGGACAUGACUUGCCCAAGGUCCCGCAGAGAGCACACGGCCAGUCACGACAGAGGGGCCCUCGGCACAACAGGAGACCCUGAGCCCGAUCCCGACCGGACGCCAGAAGCCCCUUGAGGACAAGGACUCCAUUUUACCCUUUAGGCCGUCCUCCCUCCCUGCGGGGGCUAGCACUGGGUGCCGCACACAGUAGGGGUUCCGGAAGUCCUCGGUGGGGUGGGGGGGGGGACAUCUUCCGUCCUGCAGCA
rnacentral:lncRNA from 1 species